rnacentral:rRNA from 1 species
UAAUACGUAGGGUGCAAGCGUUGUUCGGAAUCACUGGGCAUAAAGCGCAUGUAGGCGGCUCGAUCAGUCGGGUGUGAAAGCCCCUGGCUCAACCAGGGAACUGCAUUCGAUACUGUCGGGCUCGAGGGUGGAAGAGGAGAGUGGAACUCGUAGUGGAGCGGUGAAAUGCGUAGAUAUUACGAGGAACACCGGUGGCGAAAGCGACUCUCUGGUCCAUUCCUGACGCUGAGAUGCGAAAGCCAGGGGAGCAAACGGGAUUAGAUACCCCGGUAGUCCUGGCCCUAAACGAUGGGUACUAGGUAGAGGCGGCACCGACGUCGUCCCUGCCGGAGCCAAUGUUUUAAGUACCCCGCCUGGGGAGUACGGUCGCAAGAUUG